GCCCUCCGGUUUCUCUUCAGAUCGUAUAAAUCCGUGGAGAGAAACACGUACGAGUCUUAAUAAAAUUUUUGUGGCUCCGUUACGGUGGAGC
ensembl:snRNA U5 U5 spliceosomal RNA